UGAUAAAUGAUAUUUUUUGCACUUCUGUUGUUUGGGUCACUCUUGGCAAAGACAAAGCACUCGCUUACCUAUUAGCAGAUCAAGGAUAUGAUGUUUGAUUGGGCAAUUUUCCUGGUACUGCGUAUUCAAGAGCGCAUAUUUUCCUAUCACCGUCAGAAUGGAAAUUUUGGGAUUACAGCUUUCAUGAAAUAGGCGUCUACGAUUUACCUGCGAUGAUUACACUUAUUACAAAUAUGAGAUCACAACCAUUGCACGCGUACAUUGGUCAUUCUAUGGGCGAAUCUGUUUUUUACGUAAUGGCAACAGAGCGUCCAAAAAUUGCUAGAAUGGUAAAAAUGAUGUUCAGUUUUGGACCAGGAAUUUUCUUAGAUUAUAUGAGAGGUCCACUACGAUCGAUGUUUUAUUUGGUGAAAAAGAUGCAGCCAAUAUUUCGAGUUCUGUUCCAUGACGAAUUACUUACACGAAAAGUUUUUAAAACGGCAAUGGCAUUAAUCGGCUGCAACUCAAAUUUCCUUCUAUCGGAGAUGUGCGCUAUUUUCAUAUUUUCAGUCUUCGGUUACGACCGUGAGCAGUUUACUUACGUGAGUAAUAACUGAACUCAGCUGCCUGUAAUUGUGAGUCACAUACCUGUCAGCCUUUCGACUAAGACAGUGGUGCACAUAACGCAGGGAAUCCAAUCAGGCAAGUUUCGUCGAUACGACUACGGUGCCACGAAAAAUCUCUUAAUCUAUAAUUCGAUAGAACCGCCGGAUUAUGAUUUAUCGAGUGUUAAGGUGCCGAUCGCGAUAUUCUAUGCCAACAACGACUUCCUGGUCGAUCCCAUUAAUGUGAAGAGGUUGUAUAAUUUACUGCCCAACGUAAUAGAUUUGUACAAUGUGCCGCGGCCCAGUUUUAAUCACGUGGGCUUUAUAUGGGCCGAGGAUGCACCUACACUUGUGUACAAAAGAGUUUUUAAAAUCAUG